UACGUAGGGGGCAAGCGUUGUCCGGAUUUAUUGGGCGUAAAGAGCGUGUAGGCGGCCUGGAAGGUCAGCUGUGAAAACUCGAGGCUCAACCUCGAGACGUCGGUUGAAACCACCUGGCUAGAGUCCGGAAGAGGAGUGUGGAAUUCCCGGUGUAGCGGUGGAAUGCGCAGAUAUCGGGAGGAACACCCGUGGCUAAGGCGGCUCUCUAGUACGGUACUGACGCUGAGACGCGAAAGCGUGGGGAGCGAACAGG
rnacentral:rRNA from 1 species